rnacentral:rRNA from 1 species
CCCUUAGAUGUUCUGGGCUGCACGCGUGCUACACUGAUUACUUCAACAAGUGUUUUAACUGGAGAGUUCGCGUAAUCCUGAAAUGUUAUCGUGAUGGGAGUAGAGUAUUGUAUUUGUUAAUCUUUAACGAGGAAUUCCUAGUAAGUGUAGGUUUAUAAGUUGUUCUGAUUACGUCCCUGCCCUUUGUACACACCGCCCGUCGCUCCUACCGAUUGAAUGUUCCGGUGAGCUCUUCGGACUGCGCGGUCUGCAGUUUCUGCGUUCCGUGCGGAAAGUUGCGCAAACCUUAACAUUUAGAGGAAGGAGAAGUCGUAACA